AAUGAACGCUGGCGGCAUGCCUAACACAUGCAAGUCGAACGAGACCAUCGGGUCUAGUGGCGCCCGGGUGCGUAACGCGAGGGAACCUGACCUUAGGUUCGGAAUACCUACCCGAAAGGGGUGAUAAUACCGGACAAUGUCUUAGGCCCAAAGAUUUAUCGCCCUUGGUUGGACCAGCGUUGGAUUAGCUGGUUGGUAGGGUAAAAGCCUACCAAGGCGACGAUCCAUAGCUGGUCUGUGAGGAUGAUCAGCCACUCUGGGACUGGGACACGGCCCAGACUCCUACGCGAUGCAGCAGUGGCGAACAGUGGACCAUGGGCUAAAUCCUGAUCCACCUAUGCCGCGUGAGUGAUGAAGUCCUUAGGGUUGUAAUGCUCUUUUACCCGUGAUGAUCAUGACAGUACCUGGAGAAUAAGCUCCGGCUAACUCCGUG
rnacentral:rRNA from 1 species